UACGGGGGGAGCAAGCGUUGUUCGGAUUUACUGGGCGUAAAGGGCGCGUAGGCGGCGCAACAAGUCACUUGUGAAAUCUCCGGGCUUAACCCGGAGCGGUCAAGUGAUACUGUCGUGCUAGAGUGCGGAAGGGGCUACUGGAAUUCUCGGUGUAGCGGUGAAAUGCGUAGAUAUCUGGAGGAACACCGGUGGCGAAGGCGACAUCCUGGACCGGUAUUGACGCUGAGACGGCGAAAAGCGUGGGGAGCAAACAGG
rnacentral:rRNA from 1 species